CGGGGUGUGGCUCAGGUGGUAGAGUGCUUGCUUCGGGAGCAAGAGGCCGCGAGUUCGAGUCUCGCCACUCCGA
rnacentral:tRNA from 2 species